rnacentral:tRNA from 1 species
GGUGGGAUGGCCGAGUGGUUUAAGGCGCUGCUCUCGAAAAGCAGUUGGGCUAUAAAGCUCUCAGAGGUUCGAAUCCUCUUCCCACCG